CUACGGAGGGUCCAAGCGUUAUCCGGAAUCAUUGGGUUUAAAGGGUCCGCAGGCGGUCAAUUAAGUCAGAGGUGAAAGCCCAUCGCUCAACGAUGGAACUGCCUUUGAUACUGGUUGACUUGAGUUAUACGGAAGUAGAUAGAAUAAGUAGUGUAGCGGUGAAAUGCAUAGAUAUUACUUAGAAUACCGAUUGCGAAGGCAGUCUACUACGUAUAUGCUGACGCUGAGGGACGAAAGCGUGGGGAGCGAACAGGAUUAGAUACCCUAGUAGUCC
rnacentral:rRNA from 1 species